GAUGAACGCUGACAGAAUGCUUAACACAUGCAAGUCGAUGGGGAAGUGGUGCUUGCACCCUGGUAACCCUGGCGGACGGGUGAGUAACACGUAAGGAACUUACCUGCGGGACCGGGAUAACAGCAGGAAACUGCUGACAAGACCGGAUAAGGUCAUUAAGCUGCAUAGCUUAGUGAUGAAAGGAGACGCCUGCGGAGAGCCUUGCGUCCUAUUAGCUAGUUGGAGGGGUAACGGCCCACCAAGGCGAAGAUAGGUAGCCGGCCUGAGAGGGUGGACGGCCACAAGGGGACUGAGAUACGGCCCUUACUCCUACGGGAGGCGGCAGUGGGGAAUAUUGGACAAUGGGGGCAACCCUGAUCCAGCAAUUCUGUGUGCACGAAGACGGUUUUCGGAUUGUAAAGUGCUUUCAGCAGGGAAGAAGGAAGUGACGGUACCUGCAGAAGAAGCGACGGCUAAAUACGUG
rnacentral:rRNA from 1 species